rnacentral:rRNA from 1 species
CGGGUGAGUAAUGUCUGGGAAACUGCCCGAUGGAGGGGGAUAACUACUGGAAACGGUAGCUAAUACCGCAUAACGUCGCAAGACCAAAGAGGGGGACCUUAGGGCCUCUUGCCAUCGGAUGUGCCCAGAUGGGAUUAGCUAGUAGGUGGGGUAAUGGCUCACCUAGGCGACGAUCCCUAGCUGGUCUGAGAGGAUGAUCAGCCACACUGGGACUGAGACACGGUCCAG